GGAUGUUACAAGCAAGGUGGGGGUGUUGUGCGGGUGGAGAGGGGAAGGGAGCGGCGUGGCCGCAGAGGGGUAGGAGCUUGAGCUCCUCGGCUCGGUGCUGUGAGCUGAGGAGGGAGGGGGCUACUCCUAUUUAUAGGCUGGGAGAUCGAGCGUGCGGCGGCCACAUAGCCCGGAUGGGUGACGACGGCCGCUCACUUGGCAACGAAGCAAGGGGAACGGGAUGCACCGGCACCCAGCGAGGAAUAGUGCUCGCAGCGGCAUUAAUGGUGGCUGGGAACAGUGGCGCUGGCGGAUCGGGUGGCCGGGGGAGAGGGGCGGAUGCGUGAGCGAGGGGAACAUUCCAUAGGGGGGCCUACAUCUACAUGAGGGCAUGGAGCGCAGCGGCGCGGUGUGCUGCUGCACGGUGGAGGGCAAGGAGGGGGAAAGCACCGGUAGCCGGCGGUGUCAGGGUGGUAGGCAUCGGGGAGAUAAGGGAGGAGGAGCUUCCUUGGGCGUGAAGGCUUCGAGGGUAGUGGAUCUUGUGGCGUAUGGUGCAGCGAAGGCUUGGCCGAAGCAGCGGCAGCGCACGGUUUUUACCAUGGUAGAGGUAGAAAAAUGGGCACCGGCGCUGGCGAAGGGAGGCGAGGCGGGCUGAGGUGGGCCGCAGGUGGAGUCGGGCUGCUUGUUGGUGGGCUGGAGGAGGGGAGAUGGGCCGAGGAAAGGGGAUAGGUAGGUCGGGCUGAAAGCGUGAGCAGGUCGGAAAGGAGGUUGUGGCCCGUGAGAGAUUUAGAAUGGUUUUCUUUUAUUUAGAAGGGUUUUUAGAGUUCAAAUUUGAAAUAGAAUGGUUUGAAGUGAGGGCUUUAAUUGAACAUAAAUUUUGAUGUUUUCUGGUGGGGUCUGAGAUUGGAAAUUGUUUGGAUAAGGUGAUAAUCUUCUAGAGGUUUGAAUUAAUAUUCAAAUUAGGUUUGAAUAUUAAUUCUUAGAUUUUUAGUUUAGGUAUUAUUUUGGAAGGGUUAUUUCCUAAGAUUUUGGAUAUUUCAAGAGGGUGAUGGUGAAGGGUUUUGAUAUACAUAAGAUCAAAGAUUUGAAUA
rnacentral:lncRNA from 1 species